CCUACGGGUGGCAGCAGUGGGGAAUAUUGGACAAUGGGCGAAAGCCUGAUCCAGCCAUGCCGCGUGUGUGAAGAAGGCCUUCGGGUUGUAAAGCACUUUCAGUGGGGAAGAAAGCCUUGGGGCUAAUACCCUCGAGGAAGGACAUCACCCACAGAAGAAGCACCGGCUAACUCCGUGCCAGCAGCCGCGGCAAUACGGAGGGUGCGAGCGUUAAUCGGAAUUACUGGGCGUAAAGCGCGCGUAGGCGGUCUGAUAAGCCGGUUGUGAAAGCCCCGGGCUCAACCUGGGAACGGCAUCCGGAACUGUCAGGCUAGAGUGCAGGAGAGGAAGGUAGAAUUCCCGGUGUAGCGGUGAAAUGCGUAGAGAUCGGGAGGAAUACCAGUGGCGAAGGCGGCCUUCUGGACUGACACUGACGCUGAGGUGCGAAAGCGUGGGUAGCAAACAGGAUUAGAUACCCGGUAGUC
rnacentral:rRNA from 1 species